GUGAACGCUGGCGGUAGGCCUAACACAUGCAAGUCGAACGGCAGCACAGUAAGAGCUUGCUCUUACGGGUGGCGAGUGGCGGACGGGUGAGGAAUACAUCGGAAUCUACUUUUUCGUGGGGGAUAACGUAGGGAAACUUACGCUAAUACCGCAUACGACCUACGGGUGAAAGCAGGGGAUCUUCGGACCUUGCGCGAUUGAAUGAGCCGAUGUCGGAUUAGCUAGUUGGCGGGGUAAAGGCCCACCAAGGCGACGAUCCGUAGCUGGUCUGAGAGGAUGAUCAGCCACACUGGAACUGAGACACGGUCCAGACUCCUACGGGAGGCAGCAGUGGGGAAUAUUGGACAAUGGGCGCAAGCCUGAUCCAGCCAUACCGCGUGGGUGAAGAAGGCCUUCGGGUUAUAAAGCCCUUUUGUUGGGAAAGAAAAGCAGCAGGUUAAUACCCCGCUGUUCUGACGGUACCCAAAGAAUAAGCACCGGCUAACUUCGUG
rnacentral:rRNA from 1 species